rnacentral:rRNA from 2 species
UUAGGUUAAGUUAUGAAGGGCGCAUGGUGAAUGCCUUGGUACUAGGAGCCGAUGAAGGACGGGACUAACACCGAUAUGCUUCGGGGAGCGGUAAGUACGCUUUGAUCCGGAGAUUUCCGAAUGGGGCAACCCAAUCAGCUUAGUCGCUGAUUACUUGACUAGUGAAUACAUAGCUAGCAAGAGGUAGACGCAGUGAACUGAAACAUCUUAGUAGCUGCAGGAAGAGAAAGAAAUAUCGAUUCCCUGAGUAGCGGCGAGCGAAAAGGGAAGAGCCCAAACCAACGAGCUUGCUUGUUGGGGUUGUAGGACUGAACAUUAGAGUUACCAAAGUGCGACGUAGUCGCAACAGUUGGGAAGCUGUGCCAUAGAGGGUGAAAGCCCCGUAGACGAAACGUCACACUCUCUGUUCAGGAUCCUGAGUACGGCGGGACACGUGAAACCCCGUCGGAACCCGCGAGGACCAUCUCGCAAGGCUAAAUACUCCCUAGUGACCGAUAGUGAACCAGUACCGUGAGGGAAAGGUGAAAAGCACCCCGGAAGGGGAGUGAAAUAGUUCCUGAAACCAUGUGCCUACAAGC